rnacentral:lncRNA from 1 species
UAGAGUCAUAGAAUAUAAUUCGAUUUUUAAUGAAAACAACACAAGAAACACAAAAACAUUGAUGAAUAACAAUCAACAUAACAAAAGCAUAAAGCAUUGAACAUAGAGAAACAUCAAGAACAAAACAUAUUGUUAAUGAGAAACGAAAAUUACAAAAAUGUAUCGAACAAACGCGCAAUCGGAGUCACCACGGCCUGUCACCAACGUGAUGUGCGCUCCAAAAGCAUGGAAACCAAAACCCUAAGCUAAAAAGUGAAAAAUUGUAUUCUCUGAGAGUGUGUUUAAGAGUCUAUUUACAUUACAAAAGCCCCUUUAUAUAAGGUGGAAAUAGAAAAGAGAAGAAGAAAGAGGGAAAAGAGGAAACUUGCUCAUGACACUUUAAUCUUCUCUUCAUAGGACGAUCAAUAGUUGCUUCCUUUCCAAGCCCUCCGAUCAUCUCCACGUCAUCUUUUCUGGUUAGCUCCGGUCAGGGGCGCGAGCUUCUUCUUCCUCUCUCGUCUCACUUCGCAUUCUCUCUUUUGCUUCUUUUCUUGAUCAAGCCCUAACCUUUUGUUCUUUUCUGUAGAAUGAAUUUUCGAAAGCCUUUGCCAAAUGACAACAAGGGAAAGAGACCCCUCACAGUAGUAACGCCCAAAACGGCAUCGUCAAACUAAAGUACAGCCCAAUUCAAGCGGCCCAAUUGUUCUUCAAAUCAGCACCUUCUCAUGUCUUCUUUUCAGCAUCAGAGGCCUACAGAUCAAUGUUUCUCCAUUUGCAGCCUCAGCACAUCCAAUCUAAUUGAAGGUAGCAGCGGCCCACUUCAUUGCAUCAGAUUUGAUGUUAGCCUAAUCUUCC